GGCAGUUUAGCUUAAUGGUAAAGCACUUGACCAGUAAUCAGAGAGAUGUGAAUUCGAGUCUCAUGGCUGGCCA
rfam:Octopus bimaculoides Scaffold17592_contig_48, whole genome shotgun sequence.